AUGAACGUUGGCGGUGUGCCUAAUACAUGCAAGUCGAACGGUGGUUAUUUUGUAGUAAUACGAAGUGAUCAUAGUGGCGAACGGGUGAGUAACGCGUUGGUGAUCUGCCUCGAAGUGUGGAAUAACGUCCCGAAAGGAACGCUAAUACCGCAUGUGCUCUCGAUUUUUAGAAACUUGAGAGUAAAGGAUUUAUUCGCUUCGAGAGGAGCCUGCGUCCCAUCAGCUAGUUGGUAAGGUAAUGGCCUACCAAGGCAAUGACGGGUAGGGGACCUGAGAGGGUGGCCCCCCACAAUGGAACUGAAACACGGUCCAUACACCUACGGGUGGCAGCAGUAGGGAAUAUUAGAAAUGGACGAAAGUCUGAUCUAGCGACACCGCGUGUGCGAUGAAGGCCUUCGGGUUGUAAAGCACUUUUUGGAAGGAAUAGGAAGGAAGGUACUUCCAGAAUAAGUCUCGGCUAACUACGU
rnacentral:rRNA from 1 species